AGCGAACGCUGGCGGCAGGCUUAACACAUGCAAGUCGAGCGGGCCCUUCGGGGUCAGCGGCAGACGGGUGAGUAACACGUGGGAACGUACCCUUUGGUUCGGAAUAACGCUGGGAAACUAGCGCUAAUACCGGAUACGCCCUUUUGGGGAAAGGCUUGCUGCCGAAGGAUCGGCCCGCGUCUGAUUAGCUAGUUGGUGGGGUAAUGGCCUACCAAGGCGACGAUCAGUAGCUGGUCUGAGAGGAUGAUCAGCCACACUGGGACUGAGACACGGCCCAGACUCCUACGGGAGGCAGCAGUGGGGAAUAUUGGACAAUGGGCGCAAGCCUGAUCCAGCCAUGCCGCGUGAGUGAUGAAGGCCUUAGGGUUGUAAAGCUCUUUUGUCCGGGACGAUAGUGGCGGUACCGGAAGAAUAAGCCCCGGCUAACUUCGUG
rnacentral:rRNA from 1 species